rnacentral:lncRNA from 1 species
UCCAACCAUAUAUAUACGAACCAUAUAUUACAAAACACUAUCUAUAGUGGGUCCGGAACUCAAGUGGGGAAACAAAUUUUGUCAGCGGAUGUGCGUGAAGCUAUUUCCUAGUUCCUAGUUCCUCAUUUUCAAAAAUAAGUAAGUGCACUCUUACAUUACAUUCAAACUCUCCACAAGCUAGAGUAUAGCAUGUGCACCAUCCACAACCUGUUAUAAAUCUGCAUCUGGAUUCUUACAUCACAUUUAAACUUGUAGUAGAGAGUUUAAGUGUAAUUAAGAGUACACUUGCUUAUUUUUUAGACCCAUUUCCUUAUUUUUAGACCCAUUUCCUUAUUUCAGAGCAGCGACAUUAGGCGAGUAUAGUUCACUUUUAUUUCACCAUAGAAACAGAUGUAGCUCUGGUUGUGGAUGGUGCACAUGCUAUUCUCUAGCUUGUGGAGAGUUUGAAUCUAAUGUAAGAGUCCACUUACUGAUUUUUUUUUACCAAUUUCCUUAUUUUAGAGCAGCGCCAUUAGGCGAGUAUAGUUCACUUUUAUUUCACCAUAGAAACCGAUGUAGCUCAGGUUGUGGAUGGUGCACAUGCUAUUCUCUAGCUUGUGGAGAGUUUGAAUCUAAUGUAAGAGUAAUAAGGAACUAGGAAAUAAGCUUGUUGCUUCUAGAAAGUUCUCCGCAGAAUGCGACGACUAGUGUAACAGCCGUUGGUUAAUAACUACGGAUGACGUCAGUACUAGGUUUUGUGUAUUCUUGUGAUGACUUUCCCGGUCAGUGCCCUUUGGAGUUUCUUUGGUUUUCCAGGGCCUGGUUUUUCAGAGAUCUAGCAGAAGCAGUCAGCGUCUCAAUUGCUGUGAGCUCGUGAGUCAGGGGCAGUGUAUUUGAGACUGUGAUUUUUACAUUAGCAAAGUAAUAUCACGAACUUAUCUGCAGAUUGUACUGCUAUCGGUAUGCUUAGCUUCGUGGUAAUAUAUGCUAACAGUCAAUCGCUUACAAAGAAAAUUAACACCCUGCCCCCCUAGAAAAUUUAUUGCCGUUCAUGUACGUGGAAAGCUAUUUGACUGAAACAGAGAUCCCAAUACCUCGGUUCCUCUCAAAUGUUUGGUUUCGCGAUUGAACUUUGCGAUCUGCCGCCCUCGCGGCACCGUUUGAUUUUGCUGCUUUGGUCUCAUCCUGUAACGCGUGUCAGAGUUGGUUUUAAUGAUCGGUAGCGUUUCUCUCAUGUCUGGAAUAGCCAUCGAUUCUCGUGAUCGACUCUCGAUUGCUGUCUUCCCCACGUUCCGUACUUUCAGAUUACUGGCUAACACUGGCCGGUUGAGACGUGAGAGUAAGAUGUAUGCAUUCGUGGCUGGAUAGAGCUGGUUAGGACUAGACUAGGCCCACGUGUUGACGUUGCUCAGCAUCGAAUCGUGUGCUAGAAAUUCUUUCGCGUUUCAGGGAUUCUUGUUUACAUCUCUGGUUGGUUGUCUCACCCCCCCCCCCCCCUGAGAACGGUUCACAGUUCACACACGUUGUCCGUACAUAUCCCCAUGUAGUGCUGGUGUUGGAAUGCUUUGAUGAGCGCGAUCGAUCUGUCAUCUUCUAUAUCUCCAGGAAAAGUUUAACGUUCUCUUUAAUCUUCGCCCUCCGUGUCGACAUAAACCGCGCUCCGAGAGCGGGAAUUGUUGAAGAUUUCACGGCGACUUAAUUACUUAGCCGAUAUUAUCCUAGAAGAUACAAUAAUGUCUAUACUCUAGUCUAGAUUUCCUAAUCUUGUUGGGUUACAUUAUUGUAUCAUAUAUUAUCCAUGCGUGUGCGGCCAUUUUGGAUUAUAUAGUAUAUACCCACCGAAGGAUGAUGUUUGGCGUUUGUUAUCCAAAAAAUGUGGUAAAUGUUCCGUGUAUUUGCUGCGUAGUCGGUUGGUCGUUAGGCCUACUGCCAGCGAGGGCCUCUAGAUCGGUUUUGAUAGUCCAAUAGCAUUUUAACAUGACACGGACCCUGAACUUGUUAUGUAUAAGCUGUAGUUAACUGUAAAUAGUAUAUAGUGUUGUAUAAAUUAUUGUGUUUUCACGGUGUACGUCUCAAAAGUAGUAUAACUGUUAUAUUAUUGAUUUCGGCAUAUAUUUUUCAUAUUCUGGUAUGUAAUUUUUUGAGUGUUCUUGUGUUUUUCUGAAUAUACAUUUGUAAUGUAGGUCUUUGACAUUGCUUAUAGAGUUACAACACUUUUCGUGUUCGCUGCCACUGUUACUCGACAGUGAACAGAAACUUUGACUGUGUGUUGUCAGUCUAUAAAAAAACGUUCGAGUUGCGUAUGAAUUUAUAAAAAAAAAAUUAAAUAUCGAAAACCCUACUGUAACUGCUGAAACUAUUUACACUGAGGUAUAUAUGCAGGGUAGACAGGUUUAAAAGCGGAGAAUGUGACUGACCCCCCCCCCCUAAAAACAUUUAUUUUCUUUAAUGUUUACAGAAUGUUUGAUUAUAUAGUCUACCAGUAUUUAAUCGUGUAUUUCGUAGCAGUGUCUAAGCCGCGGCGGGGAAGGGAGGGAAGGGGGCUUACUUUCUGUGUGUGUGUGCGUGUGCGUGUGCGUGUGCGUGCGCGUGCUCGUGUGCGUUCUGCGUGCGCGCGCGUGUGUAUGUGGCCUGUAACGGGCGUGCAAACUCGGCUGAUUUCGCGUGCACACGUGCGGCAUGAGGAAACAAAUGGCAAGAGAGGGAGGGGAAACGAAACGGAGUGCGGGAGGGAUAGAUGGAGAGACGGAGAAAGAGCGCAUACGAGCGCGCGCGCGAAAGAGAAAUGCACGGUGUGUUAAGCGAAGCUGUGUGGAGUGGAUAGUCGAUGGGGUACCGAGGGGUACGUAAAUUGCGUAGGGAAUGGGUAGGGUAUGACUGAAAGAGGCAAGGUAUGUUGCGAGGUAUGUAUAAAAGGAGAGAUGGGGACCAGUGAGGUGCUGGGAAAGUACGUGGGGAGAUGUUGGGGUGCGAUUCGAGAAUUGAGCAAGAUUGAGGGACGAGUGUUUGUGAGAGCAACAGACACGCUGUAUGAGGAGCCGAUAGGAUAGGCAAGGGAAGUCGAUGGAAUCGGUGAGAAGUUGCAAGCAGUAAGGAAUACGAGUAGUGCGUGCGAAGAGCCGUGGUUGCUGGUGUGAGUGAGGGGAGAAGGGGUGAAGGAAGCCGCUAACGUAUGCACAAAGUCCCGCGAGCGAACUGUCGCCGUGCCCUCUAUCGCAGGGGGACAGUCGCUCAUAGCUAUACUAUAAACAGGAGUAAAUAAUUACAGGUUUGUGAUUAUUUAUUCCUGCUAUAAAGAUACUAAUUAGUACUAAUUGUAAUCCGCACUAAUUAGUAUUAAUUGGUGCCUGGUUUAUAUUCCUGCACUAGCAUCCCCGCCGGGCCGCGUCAUUAUUUAUUUCAUCUACUGUCAUUUUUUGUGCUUUUGUGUUUUCGAGCCAGCGUCGGUGUGUGUGUGCGUGCGUGCGUGUGCGUGCGUGUGUGUGUGUGUGUGUGUGUGUGUGUGUGUGGUGUGUGUGUGAUGUGUGUGUUUGUGUGUGUGCGCGCCGCACGCCGCGCGUGCUGUAGCGUGCGUCGCAUGAUUGACCAGGUGGAGGGAGCGCCGAAAUUGUAGCGAUGUUUGCAGACUAAUGCUCGUUAUGUGGUGUGCGCGCAUGGGUGCCGUACGUCGUGCACUGGUGUAUGUGUGGCGGCGAUACGGCUGACAACUACGUGUGCACGUACAUCACCACCACAGGUGUUGGCUUGUUUAUAAUGCACAGCUGAUUUGAAAUCGUUCGUAUAAUAAUUAGGACUACAAAUAAAGCCAGUAAUUCAAACAUA